rnacentral:rRNA from 1 species
AUUGAACGCUGGCGGCAUGCUUUACACAUGCAAGUCGAACGGCAGCGCGGGCUUCGGCCUGGCGGCGAGUGGCGAACGGGUGAGUAAUGCAUCGGAACGUGCCCAGUAGUGGGGGAUAGCCCGGCGAAAGCCGGAUUAAUACCGCAUACGACCUGAGGGUGAAAGCGGGGGACCGAAAGGCCUCGCGCUAUUGGAGCGGCCGAUGUCGGUUUAGCUAGUUGGUGGGGUAAAGGCUUACCAAGGCGACGAUCCGUAGCUGGUCUGAGAGGACGACCAGCCACACUGGGACUGAGACACGGCCCAGACUCCUACGGGAGGCAGCAGUGGGGAAUUUUGGACAAUGGGGCAACCCUGAUCCAGCCAUGCCGCGUGCGGGAAGAAGGCCUUCGGGUUGUAAACCGCUUUUGUUCGGGAAGAAAUCCUCUGGGCUAAUACCCCGGGGGGAUGACGGUACCGGAAGAAUAAGCACCGGCUAACUACGUG